AGAGUUUGAUCAUGGCUCAGAUUGAACGCUGGCGGCAUGCCUUACACAUGCAAGUCGAACGGCAGCACGGGAGCAAUCCUGGUGGUAGUGGCGAACGGGUGAGUAAUAUAUCGGAACGUGCCCAGUCGUGGGGGAUAACGCAGCGAAAGCUGUGCUAAUACCGCAUACGAUCUCUGGAUGAAAGCGGGGGACUCGCAAGAGCCUCGCGCGAUUGGAGCGGCCGAUAUCAGAUUAGCUAGUUGGGUGGGGUAAAAGCCCCACCAAGGAGGACGAUCUGUAGCUGGUCUGAGAGGAACGACCAGCCACACUGGAAACUGAGACACGGUCCAGACUCCUUACGGGAGGCAGCAGUGGGGAAUUUUGGACAAUGGGCGAAAGCCUGAUCCAGCAAUGCCGCGUGCCAGGAUGAAGGCCUUCGGGUUGUAAACUGCUUUUGUACGGAACGAAACGGUCUGCCCUAAUACGGCGGGCUAAUGACGGUACCGUAAGAAUAAGCCACCGGCUAACUACGUGCCACCAGCCGCGGAUAAAUACGUAGGGUGCGAGCGUUUAAUCCGGAAUUACUUGGGCGUAAAGCGGUGGCGCACGGCGGUUUAUAUAAGAACAGAUGUGAAAUCCCCCGGGCCUCAACCUGGGGAACCUGCAUUUUUGUGACUGUAUUAAGCUUAAGAGUUACGGUACAAGAGGGGGAUGGGUAAUUCCGCGUGUAGCAGUGAAAUGCGUAGAUAUGCGGAGGAACACCGAUGGCGAAGGCAAUCCCCUGGACCUGUACUGACGCUCAUGCACGAAAGCGUGGGGAGCAAACAGGAUUAGAUACCCUGGUAGUCCACGCCCUAAACGAUGUCAACUGGUUGUUGGGUCUUCACUGACUCAGUAACGAAGCUAACGCGUGAAGUUGACCGCCUGGGGAGUACGGCCGCAAGGUUGAAACUCAAAGGAAUUGACGG
rnacentral:rRNA from 1 species